GAUGAACGCUGGCGGCGUGCCUAAUACAUGCAAGUCGAGCGAACAGAUGAGGAGCUUGCUCCUCUGACGUUAGCGGCGGACGGGUGAGUAACACGUGGAUAACCUACCUAUAAGACUGGGAUAACUUCGGGAAACCGGAGCUAAUACCGGAUAAUAUAUUGAACCGCAUGGUUCAAUAGUGAAAGACGGUUUUGCUGUCACUUAUAGAUGGAUCCGCGCCGCAUUAGCUAGUUGGUAAGGUAACGGCUUACCAAGGCAACGAUGCGUAGCCGACCUGAGAGGGUGAUCGGCCACACUGGAACUGAGACACGGUCCAGACUCCUACGGGAGGCAGCAGUAGGGAAUCUUCCGCAAUGGGCGAAAGCCUGACGGAGCAACGCCGCGUGAGUGAUGAAGGUCUUCGGAUCGUAAAACUCUGUUAUUAGGGAAGAACAAAUGUGUAAGUAACUAUGCACGUCUUGACGGUACCUAAUCAGAAAGCCACGGCUAACUACGUG
rnacentral:rRNA from 1 species